UUCAUUUCCAAAUUUCCCAGCCGCCGCCCCAUCGAUCCUCAGCUUCCUCCCCAUCCCUCUUCCUUGUCGCCGCCCCAUCCAUCCUCCUCGUCGAUCGGCAUCUUGCUGCUUGGCCCUAAUCAAGAUGCCCUCUGGAAGGUUGGUCGCACAUACCUUGAUGGUAAGGGGCUCUUUCGAUUAUUCUCUCAGUAAUUGCCCCCACCGCGUCACCCGCCGUCGUGCCUUGCUGCACGCUCCUUUCCCAUCCGCAACAACCAACCUUGCAUCGAAAGGUGGAAAUGACGACAACAAUCUCCAAUCUACUGUCCCUCUAAUCUCUAAUCUGCUAGCAUCGACCUCCAAUCUGCUUCCCAUCUCUGUCCUCUUCCGAACAUAGUGGAAAUGGUGACGCUGGUGCUAGAGUGGGCUACCAAGGAGCCCUGCCUCAUGACCAUGGGGGUUGAUGAGGCAGGUCAUGGCCCUAUCCUUGAUAAACACUUGUCUUUCUUCUGACCGGUUAAUAUGCAAUAUUGCUUUUUUUGAGUUUUCUUACUACAUUGUAUGUAUAAAUGUUCAUUAUGUUUGAGGUCCUGGAGGUUUCAUGGGCUCAUUUCUCUAAUGAAAUGGAUGCUACAAAGGAUUUAGUAAAAUGGAUGCUACAACUCGAUACUAGAGAAGGCCCUGCUUGGUAAACGCUACCAUGCAAUUUUGAGAAAUCUCUUUGAAUUGUUUGACAUCAUCUUAUAGCUUUGGAGCCGUGUUGAUCGAUGGUUCAAACGAAUAUAUGAGUUGCAGCUAAGGGGUCAACCAAAACCAAAAUCUAAGGAUACAGGUUCAUGGCUUGAUAGCGACAGAAAAUCUAUGCCCAAAAAUGUUGGUUCCGGUUUUCCCAUAGUAGUGAAUUCAUAUGAGAUGGCCCUGUAUGAUGCUAAAUUUCUUGCUGCCCAUAAGUGGAAGUAUGUUGUUGUUAAUGAGGUGAUGGAAAACAUAUUUUCUAAAUUAUCACCCAUUUGUUUUCUCCUUUUUUGUAUUUACAUGUCAGUUCCAUAUUUCUUUCUCUAGGGCAUCGGUCGAAAAAUUCUAAGUGUCUAUUAUUAAGGGAGCUGAAGCGCGUACCAAUGUAUAAUAAGCUUUUUUUACUUGGCACCCCUUCUGUAUAAUCUAGCGUAGCUCUGGUCACUAUUGAACUUCAUUUUGCCCAUUAUAUUCUCAUCAAAUCAAGAACAUGUCAUGAUAUAAUUCACACACGCUUUCCUAUUUGCCCCUUUCAGUAUUUUAUUCAUGUUAUUCAAUUCGUACUUGCAACUGAUUUAUGCCAACAUGACUAAACAUCGUAAACAAAUCCAACGUCACUUGGUUGAAAAAACAUUUGAUAAUUACUUGCAUGAGGAAUGAGAUAUUAGUAUGUUGUCAUAAUAAUGCUUACAUAUUUAUGUAGACUUGUAGUAAUCCAGUUGUUGGAGACUUGUUCUCAAAUGCUAUGAGUUAAGAAACAAGGCAACACAAAUGUUAAUGGUUAAAGGUUCUUCGUCCUUCGAAGCAUUAUUUUUCUUAGGAUAUAAUGAUCUUCGGACGAAGGUUAUGAAGGACUUACCUUCAUCAUCACAACAUGUGUUAAUGAAAGAAGAAGCAUAUGAAACAUAUAAGAGACAAUAUGAAUAAUCAUAUGACAUUAUUAAUAUACCUUCUUUAUAUUAACAUGAAUAGACAGAAACAAUAUUGAAUUACAUUUGUACCUUCGGCUUGGUAGAAGGUAAAAGUCCAAGCGUGACUCAUAAAAUGAAUACAAGUCAGCGUGAACAGUACGGGGGUACUGUUCAUCUAUUUAUAGGCAUAGGGUGCAGCCUGUGUAAAUUUACAUUCAUGCCCUUCAUACUUUCUAUUGUCUUAUGGACAACCCAAUGGGGACUAGAUAGUCUUUUCCUCUUUAAGUUGGUUCCUUUUUCCGCCGUUGUGCCAAAGCUCCCUUGCGCGUAGCUUCGGAGCAGUAUGCGUCUUCGUCUCGGUCACACUUUUCACAUCGUAUAUAGUUUUGGUCCAAGUCCGAAGGUACCUGUUCACGUGUUACACUUGGAAAGCAUUGUUAAAUCAUGUUUUUGAGGACCUUCGGAAGACGAAGGCCCCCAACAGUAGCCCCUCGCAGUAUUAAUAUGUUAAGAUAACGAAUUCAGACUGCGACAUGAACGAAGACCUUAAGCCGAAGGUCCGAAAAAACACCUUCCCUUUGCUAGAAUAGCAAUAAACAAUGACAGAUGGGACCCUCCACUUUUGCAUCGCGCUGGGCAUAUAAAUAAGAACUCACACCAGCUGCAAUUGAUACGCUGCUUGUGCCAUUUGCAUUAUUUUCUCAAUUUUAUAGCUCUUGCUCACUAGCGCUUGCUAGAUUUUCAAGCUCUCUGAGCUUCGGUUCAAAAGACACGUUUUCACCAUAUCUGGAGAAAAAUGUCUCCGAAAAAGAAGGUUGCUGCGGAGACGAAGCUAACUAAAGAGGCGAAGCUGUUUGAGGAGAAGAAGGCUGUGGAUCCUUAUAUUGCUGUAUUUGUUAAGUCGAUGGCAAAAACAAACACAGAGAAAAUUACUAAAGAGAUACUGGAAGGCUUAUCUGAAGAUACUGGUGACAAUGAUAGCUAUGAUGUGGGAAGUGGGGAUGAAGAUUCUGAGGAUCGGCCCUGGAGGCCAAGUCAUUCAAUCUUCGGAAAAUCGACCAUCAAAAAGAGUCAUCUUGAAAACAUGAGAGGAAGGUACUUUCAGGAUAUGUCUACUGUGAGGGCUGGUGGAGACAACAACGUCUCUGCCCCUGAAGAAAACGAAGUUGUUAUUUACCGAAGCUUCUUCAGGGCUGGGCUUCGGUUCCCUUUGAGCAAGUUUGUAGUUGAAGUGUUGAAAACCUACCAGAUCUUCCUCCAUCAGAUUACCCCCAAAGCUAUAAUAAGGAUGGAGAUUUUUGUCUGGGAAGUAAGGAGUCAAGGGCUAGAGCCAAGCGCAAAGUGCUUCUGCAGUAUGCACGAACUUCUAUAUGAGACAAAGGCCAUGGGUAAAGAACAGUACCACAACAACUUCAGUUGUUAUGGUUUUAUCGCUCGCCCUAACGCAAGCCACCCGGUGCCAACAUUUUGGAAGAGAUGGCCUGGAGCUUGGAUGGAAGAAUGGUUUUAUGUGAAGAAUGAUUUGAAAGCGAGGGAAGACAUUAAGGAAGUCAUCAUGCGCCCCAUUUGGUCUCGCUUCGGCCUCCGAAGGCUGAAGAUAGAAAUUGAUGAGACAAUUGAAGAGUGUCAGAGGGCCUUCAUCACUAUUUGCUCCUUUAUUGGAACAAGAGAUUUAAUUCAAGAACAUAUAGCCUUUAGGGUAUGGCCACUUGUAGAUAGCUGGGAAAUGCCGAAGGAGACCAUUACUGACUCUAGCGAAGGUGGUUUGAUCCGACUGAAGUAUACCUUCAGGUUCGGAGAUAAGUUUGAUGAACCAGAUGAUGACUGGCUGAAGUGUAUCGAGGCUACAAGUGACGAACUGCUUGGAGCAUAUUCCAAGGCAGAAGAUAACGCGCUGUCCGUAGCCUUCGAAGGUCGGGGAAAGAAAAGACUGAACAGAGUUUUUGACGCCAUCGGCUUCAUAUACCCUGACUACCGCUACCCGUUCCGGGGAAAGGGGGUAAAAAGAAAAAUUGCUGCUUCUGGAAAGGUUGCCGCUUCAUGAGAUAAAUCACAUCUAGCCAAACUAGUUAGUCCAUAUGGUUUGUGUUGGUCGUCAACCACCAAAAUCUAUUUAUAGGAAAGGGUUAACCCUAUUUCCCUUUCAGCGCCGCCUCCCCAUCGCCACACCUCCUCCUUCGCGCCGCCCCCUCCCGCCGCCGCUUGCUCCAUCCCGCCGCCACCUCCCCUUCGCGCCUGCUCCAACACUAAGGUGUCGGACUCGACCUUCGCCACCGUGAGUUUGACUCAUCCGCGAUCUCGGAUGGACACCCUAGUGACACUAUACCAUGGAGAAAGCGUGGAGGAAGAUGUUUAUGGGAAUGUUAGUUUUUAUGGUAUGAAGAAGGUGACUGAUGUUCGAUGAAAGACCUUCUUUUGGCCAAAUUUUCGCUCGAGCUUGUGAGGAGAUUAGUUGCAAUUUAAACGACCCUAGCAUUAUCAAUUGAGGGUUUAUUGUCCCAUGUUACAUCUGAGACAAUUGUCCGACGGUUGAUCUCCAUUGCCUCUGAAGAUGACUGGUUGGAAUAUGUCAAAAUUGUGAAGACGAUUAUUCCACCAUGUUUGGAUGUGGUUGUUCAAAAGUUAUAGUUUAGUCAUUGUGAUGCUCCAGUCGGGUUUUCUCCACAAAUGCCAAAUGCAUCUCAUAGUGAAGCUCCUUUGCUUGAGCUUCCGGAUGAAGUGGUUGUUAUGCCAGAUGCUCAAUCGGCCCCGAACGAGGUAGAGAUUUCUCAUCCUGUUCGCUGCGUUUGUGGGGCUUCGAAUCCAGUGGUACCCCCCACGAGGUCCCAUUGACCUAGGAUCCAACCCCGGAUCAACCUAGAGUUCCACAACUAGAUAAUGGUGCUUAUCUUCAUGUGCCCCUAUCAGCCAAUAUGGACCACAUAUGCAGGGCCUCAAAUAGUGUUGAUGUUCAGAUUGAGGAUGGGGAGGAGCCAUAUGAGGCUGCAUGGGCCUUAGAUUCUGAUGAUGACCGCUCGGUUCAAGAAAUGACCGAGCAAGAAAUUGAACUCAUCAGACGUUUGUGUCCUGAGCGUGACCCUACAGUACAUGAAUUUAGCAGUCUAAGUCAUUCCAAUGGUGCAUACACAGAAGGACAUGAUGAUGAACUGCUAGAGGCUCCGGAUAACGCCGACAACAUUGAGAUUAAGGUAGGCUUACUUUUCAAGGACCUGCCUACACAGAAACGAUGGCUACAGGAAUAUUCCGUGAACCGCAAGAGGUCGUUCAAGGCAAGACACUUGUAUGCUCAGCGUCGUUACACAGUUGUGUGCGAGGUGUCUGAUUGUAAUUGGAGGGUAUGUGCCCGCAGGCAGAAGGAAACCGGAAAGUUUAAGAUCACAAAAAUUUUAGGUCCACACACUUGUGCCCAGACAGAGCUGAGCUUUAAGCAUCGUCAGUUGACAUCUACCCUAAUUGCGAAAAGGCUAUUGGGGACAUUGAAGGGUCAGCCAAACUUGAAGGUGAAGUCAAUUAUGACCAUGACUUGGGAGCUGUUUGGUUAUAGGAUCAAGUAUGGGAAAGCAUGGAGGGCAAAGCAACGAGCAUGGAAGAUGAUAUACAGGGAUUGGGAGGAGGGUUACGAAAAGUUGCCAGCAUUGUUUAAUGCAAUGAAAGCAAAAAAAUCUAGGUAUGCAUUACGAGUACAUCCCUAAACCUAACGAAUGGAGGAAUGGCACAUAGAUCUUCUUUCGUGCUUUCUGGUGUUUCUCGCAGUGCGUAGAGGCCUUCAGGCAUUGUCGUCUCGUGCUCUCUAUUGUUGGUACUUUUCUUCUUGGGAACUAUAAGGGCACUGUUGGUCACUUGUUCUCAAAUGUUGUGAGUUAAGAACAAGGCAACACAAUUGUUAAUUAUAACAUACCUUCGUCCUCCGAAGUAUUAUCUCCUCAUGGAUAUAAUACUCAUCAAACAAAGGUCGAGAAGGACAUACCUCCAUCAUUUAUUAUAUAAGUAAGGAUG
rnacentral:misc_RNA from 1 species